rnacentral:rRNA from 1 species
CCUACGGGGGGCAGCAGUGAGGAAUAUUGGUCAAUGGGCGGAAGCCUGAACCAGCCAAGUAGCGUGCAGGAUGACGGCCCUACGGGUUGUAAACUGCUUUUAUACGGGAAUAAAGCGCCUUACGUGUAGGGCUUUGCAUGUACCGUAUGAAUAAGGACCGGCUAAUUCCGUGCCAGCAGCCGCGGUAAUACGGAAGGUCCGGGCGUUAUCCGGAUUUAUGGGGGUUAAAGGGAGCGUAGGGCGCAUGUCAAGCGUGCUGUGAAAUGUUCGGGCUAAACCCGGGUCUUGAAGCGCGAACUGGCGUGUUUGGGUCCGCGGAGAGAAGGCGGAAUUCGUGGUG